rnacentral:lncRNA from 1 species
CACUUUCUGGGCAGUUUUGAGUACCUAACACUAAUUUGGACGAAAUUGGACUAAAACUUGACUCAAGACACUUAAAAACACAACUAAAUUGAUUUCUAACUAAUCUAACACUUUAAAAUAAAUGGGGGAUUGAUUUUGACGAACUUAAAACUUUAAAACUUAAACUUUGAAAACAAACUUAAAGCAAAACAGAUUGUGAUGAAAUAGAAUGAUGAGAAACUAGUUAGAGGGUUCCUUAUCCGCACAUGAACAUAUGCAUACAACUCGAUCUCCAAUUACUCUUUCAACAAACCAUGAAUGACAAUGCCCCAAAUUAACUAGAUUGCACCAAUUAAUUCUCAGAUUUCCCUAGAUUCAUUGAAUUGAAUGGAAUACGCAUUACAACCAAAUUAUUCUUAUCAAGGGCCCUAACUAUGGAAUACGCAUGAUAGAGACCACAUAUCAAAGAUCAUUAAGUUCAAUGGAAAUCAUAAGCAUUGACGAGGCAUUCAUAA